rnacentral:rRNA from 1 species
AGUGAACGCUGGCGGCGUGCCUAAUACAUGCAAGUCGAACGAACGAAUAAGAGCUUGCUCUUAUAAGUUAGUGGCGCACGGGUGAGUAAUAUAUAGCUAAUCUGCCUCUUAGUAGAGGAUAACAGUCGGAAACGAUUGCUAAUACACUAUACUUCUGCUUUACAUAAGUAAAGUAGAGAAAGUUUUUCGCUAAGAGAUGAGGCUAUACUGUAUCAGCUAGUUGGUAAGGUAACGGCUUACCAAGGCUAUGACGCAUAACUGGUCUGAGAGGAUGAUCAGUCACAUUGGAACUGAGACACGGUCCGAACUCCUACGGGAGGCAGCCGUAGGGCAUAUUGCGCCAUGGGGGAAACCCUGACGCAGCCACGCCGCGUGGAGGAUGACACUUUUCGGAGCGUAACCUCCUUUUAUCGGGAAAGAAUAAUGACGGUACCCGAUGAAUAAGCACCGGCUAACUCCGUG